rnacentral:lncRNA from 1 species
CACCACCACCACCACCAUAAGCAUCAUCAAUAACAUCCACCGCCGCCGACGCCACCACCACCACGGAUAGCAUCAGCCGUCGCCGCCGUCGCCGCCGCCGUCACCACCACCACCACCACCACAAGCAUCAUCCAUAACAUCCGCCGCCGCCGACGCCACCACCACGGAUAGCAUCCGCCACCGUCACCACCACCACCACAAUCAUCAUCAAUAACAUACGCCGCCGCCGCCACCACCACCACGGCAGAUAGCAUCCGCCGUCGCCGUCACCAGCAAAGGAGGGGGAAUGGAUGAAGCGAGUGUUUAAGAGAAAUAAGCGGAACCAACGAAGAUUGAUGCGAAAAGAGUUUAUCGCAAAACGAGAGAGAGAAAGACACGCAUAUACACACACGCACACACACACAUACCCACAGAGGAAGAUACAUACACACACACAUAUACAUACAUACACACCACACGCACGCACACACACACACAAAUAUAUACAUAUACAUGUAUAUGCGCGCGUGUGUGUGUAUAUUAUAGAGAGAAAAAAAAAAGAGGGAAAAAGGAAAAAAAAAUACAAAACCGAUCCGAAAAGGUGUAAGGACAUAUAUAUAUGCGACAGUGUGUGUAUAUUUAUUUAUAUAUACUGUAAGAGCUGGAGAAUUAACAAUGGAUAUUUAGAAAACGGCCCGGCAAAAGUUAGCAUAAAGGAUAUCUUAUACAUAUAAUUUAUAGAUUUUGACAUACAUUUAUAUCCAUCUAUCUGUCUAUCUAUCUAUCUAUCUAUCUAUCUAUCUAUCUAUCUAUCUAUCUAUCUAUCUAUCUAUUUAUCUCUCUAUCUCUCUAUCAAUCUACCUGUCUAUCUACCUAUCUAUCUACCUAUCUAUCUACCUACUAUCUAUCUAUCUAUCUAUCUAUCUAUCUAUCUAUCUAUCUACCUAUCCUAUCUAUCUAUCUAUCUAUCCAUCUAUCUAUCUACCUUCCUACCUACCUAUCUAUCUAUUUAUCUAUCUCAUUACCUGUACAUACGUACAUCAUACGUACGUACGCACAUACAUAUACACAUACACACAUAAAUACAUUUAAUAUAUCACACCUGUACACACACACACAUAUACAUAUACAUAUAUAUACAUAUAUAUACAUAUAUAUAAUGUAAUUACAUAUAUGUAUAUAUAUGUAUAUACAUAAGCAUUCUUAAAGAUAUAUGUAUAUAUAUAUAAACAUUUUUAAAGAUUAGUACAUACGCAACACACACACAUAUAUAUAUAUAUGCGCAUACCCACACAUAUACACUAUACACACGUACAUAUAUACACACAUACACAUGCAUAUAUACCCAACCACGUAUAUAUAAUUACAAGAAAUUUAAGUAAAUUUUGAAAAAGUAACAUUAUAUACUUUUUCAAGACAGAAAAAGUUAAGACAACACACACACACACACAUAUAUACACAGGCGCACACAUACAAACCUCAUACUUUAAACACACACACACACACACGAACACACACACACACGAACACAGACACACACGCAUACAUAUACACACGAACACAUAUACACACGCAUACAUAUACAUUCAUACAGCCAGCAAUGCGUUAGUUACAAUUGAAAAUUAAAUCAAAUUUAAUUAAAUAUAUUUUUCGCAAGAAGACGAAAGGAAAAGAGAAUUAUUAUACUCAAUAUUAAUUUUUACCCCUUUGGAAAGGAAGAAAAGAGAAAAAUUGCGAGAAAGAAAAAGAGAAAAAAACCCCGAAAAACUUUUGUGGAAAAAUAUUUUUUAUCAGAAAAUUCUAUAAUCUAAAAAAAUCACCAAAAUUAUAUUAUGAAUAUAUGAAUGUAUAAAGAUACCUGCUUUUGAGAAAUAUCCAGAGAAUUUUUUUUACUAAAAUUUAAAAAUUUAAAGCAGUGAGAAUAUAUUUUGAGGAGGU